AGUGGAGAAGAAACAGCUUUGCCAUUUCCUUGCACUGAAUGGAGUCAGGUUGAUGGCCGGAUUGCAGAAGCCUUCACUUUUUAAUGUGCUAUGGCAAAUGCCACAAAAUCCAUGGGUCUGGCAAUAAUGAGGAAAUGAAGAUGAAUACUUCUUGGAGCCCAGCUAACGGACUGCCUUCAGACUAGAACUGCAACAUAGGAUCUUUCUGGGUCUUCAGUCUGCCAGCCCACCCUGCAAAUUUGAUUUGCCAGUUUUCAUACUCAGAAAGGCUAAAACGGAAAAGACUGCCUAUACCACAUGUUGGUGAGAAUGUAAAGAACCUGGAUGGAUCCCUCACACGUCGCUGGUGGGGA